CUUGACCCAACCACAUUUUCUUGCCCAGCUACUACAUGGCUUGGGACCUUCUUUUCCUGUGAUGCAAAGGCCAGCUCACCACACAUUAGACGCAUCUCCCGGAGAGCUGGGGUGAUUGCAUCUAGCUGCUCCUUCAGCGUUCCUGACAUUUUUUCUGGCUGUAGAGACAACAAGAUAAUCAGCGCAUGAAAUUCAAUGAGAACAUCAUGCGCAUCCAACAAUGCUAUCAUCAAUAUGGAAUUUGCUCAAUAAACAAACAAUAGAGAUCCCUGGCCGGUUCAUCACCAUGUAGAGUGGCAAUGACUCAAGUAAUCAAUCAAGUAAUUUAUGCUAAAUGUGUGUUGCUAAUCACUGAAUGGUUUAAAAUUCUCAAUUUGUAUCCUUACUAUGCACUAGUGUUCUAUAUUAUACUGUGCUUUUAGCUCAUAAACAUGCAAUUUUAAAUGCUCAAAUAAGUGAAUUGGAUG